UACGUAGGGGGCAAGCGUUGUCCGGAUUCAUUGGGCGUAAAGAGCGUGUAGGCGGCCAGGUAGGUCGGGUGUGAAAACUGGAGGCUCAACCUUCAGAGGUCGACCGAAACCCCCUGGCUAGAGUCCGGGAGAGGAGAGUGGAAUUCCUGGUGUAGCGGUGAAAUGCGCAGAUAUCAGGAAGAACACCCGUGGCGAAAGCGGCUCUCUGGAACGGUACUGACGCUGAGACGCGAAAGCGUGGGGAGCGAACAGG
rnacentral:rRNA from 1 species